UGUCCGUUUCGGGACUCGACCG
rnacentral:miRNA from 1 species